CCUACGGGAGGCAGCAGUCGGGAAUUUUGGGCAAUGGGCGAAAGCCUGACCCAGCAACGCCGCGUGAAGGAUGAAGUAUUUCGGUAUGUAAACUUCGAAAGAAUGGGAAGAAUAAAUGACGGUACCAUUUAUAAGGUCCGGCUAACUACGUGCCAGCAGCCGCGGUAAUACGUAGGGACCAAGCGUUGUUCGGAUUUACUGGGCGUAAAGGGCGCGUAGGCGGCGUGGUAAGUCACUUGUGAAAUCUCUGAGCUUAACCCAGAACGGCCAAGUGAUACUGCUGUGCUAGAGUGCAGAAGGGGCAAUCGGAAUUCUUGGUGUAGCGGUGAAAUGCGUAGAUAUCAAGAGGAACACCUGAGGUGAAGACGGGUUGCUGGGCUGACACUGACGCUGAGGCGCGAAAGCCAGGGGAGCAAACGGGAUUAGAUACCCCGGUAGUCCUGGCCCUAAACGAUGAAUACUUGGUGUCUGGAGUUAUUAGUGCUCCGGGUGCCGUCGCUAACGUUUUUAGUAUUCCGCCUGGGGAGUACGCUCGCAAGAGUGAAACUCAAAGGAAUUGACGG
rnacentral:rRNA from 1 species